rnacentral:rRNA from 1 species
GAUGAACGCCGGCGGUGUGCCUAAUACAUGCAAGUCGAACGCGUUGGCCUAAUUGAUUGAUGGUGCUUGCACCUGAUUGAUUUUGGUCGCCAACGAGUGGCGGACGGGUGAGUAACACGUAGGUAACCUGCCCAGAAGCGGGGGACAACAUUUGGAAACAGAUGCUAAUACCGCAUAACAGCGUUGUUCGCAUGAACAACGCUUAAAAGAUGGCUUCUCGCUAUCACUUCUGGAUGGACCUGCGGUGCAUUAGCUUGUUGGUGGGGUAACGGCCUACCAAGGCGAUGAUGCAUAGCCGAGUUGAGAGACUGAUCGGCCACAAUGGGACUGAGACACGGCCCAUACUCCUACGGGAGGCAGCAGUAGGGAAUCUUCCACAAUGGGCGCAAGCCUGAUGGAGCAACACCGCGUGAGUGAAGAAGGGUUUCGGCUCGUAAAGCUCUGUUGUUAAAGAAGAACACGUAUGAGAGUAACUGUUCAUACGUUGACGGUAUUUAACCAGAAAGUCACGGCUAACUACGUG